AUGGAGACAAAAGGGGGAAGCACCCUCUCUGGCCAGGGGAGCAGCUACAGGUGUCGUGGGCAGCCACACCCUCGAUGUGCCUCCCAGGCGCCGACUCCCAUGGUGGGUUCUGCUGCAUCCAGCUCACAGGUGAGGAGGGAGGAACCUGCCCCAGCUCUGAGGCUCAGGGGCCUGGAACUGCCCCCACUCUGCCAGCUGGUCAGAGCUGCUGAACCCCAAAUCCAGCUUGUUGGACAGGAACAGCCUGAGUCCAGCCCAUGUGUUCCCAAUUUUGCACCUAAGGAUGCUAGCGGGUUCCUGCCUGGACACAAACUGGCCUGCGUUCACACUGGGAGAGAGGAUGACAGUGAUGCGAAGCAGCCGUUUCAAGCACUGUCCGCUCCAUUCCCCACGGACCAGAGGCCGUCAGUUGGGCAGCUGUGUGCAUCCCGGACUCGCAGCCACCUGCAGAGAACGAGGCAAGCACCUCUCUGUUCUCCUCAGAAGGAGCUCCAAACGUGGCAGGCGUCUGGCAAAAAUAUGUCCUCCUUCUCAGGAAGAAUGUAAUGCUAACAAUAAAAAUAAGACCCUGGGGUUUAUGCAGGCCUCGUGCCUGGGGACUGUCUCACAUCUGGUGGCUCAAGAGGCCUGGCAGGAAGCAUUCUCUCUGCUUUAGGAGUGGGGAAACUGAGGCUCCAAGAGGUAGGGAGUUAGUUGCUCUCGGGUACAAUCCUGGAGCUAGGGCCAGCCAGCAGGGCUGGUGAUGUUUCAUCGUGUGUCACGCAGGUGAACUGCGGAUUUGUUCACUGUGAACUUGAAAUGUGCACAGUGUGUUGGGGACUCUGUCUUAGAAUUUGUUCCUUUUUAUAAAUUCUGGGGUCUCUGAGAGUGGGGGUGAGGGGAACUUUUUUUUUUUUAUCUCCGGAGCCUCAGAUAAAGUAGGCAGAAAUAUGUCAUAUGCUACAGAGUUCCUUGGUUAAAAAAUUCACACCUUGUAUUUGUGCAAUUAAAGAUCAGUGCGUGGGGUAUGAUUCUGAGCAGAAUCGCGUCCCCUAAAACCUCGCCUUCUCCCCUAACCUGACACAGAAUCUGUCUGGCUCUGGGAGACACCAUCCCCCACCCGGCCCGCCCUCUCGCCUAAUCCAAGGAUUUUGCCGUGAACUUCAGGGCCUCGUAAAACGCCUUUGAUAAACGAUCACCGCCGGCAGUGCUGACCUGUGAGGGGAGGACAGCAGACGCUCCGCAUAAAUCCCCCGAGCUCCGAGCUCCGAGCUCCGAGACACACUUGCCGCUGCCGCCUGCUCCUCUACGGAUGGCUGAUCGGGCAGCAGCAACACAGCGGUCAGCGCCGGGGUGGUUCCCACAUGUCCAAGCCUCAUGGGGCCUGGGGACGGUGGGCGUGGGUGAGCGAGGAGGGGAGGGACAGACGUGGACGGUAGCAGGGGGUCCUGGUGUGCCGCAGUGUGAACAAGAAGCCAGUUUGUGUCUCAGGACUCGUUUACGGGGAGUCGCUGGAUGCAGAAUGAGCUGCUUCCCUCAGGUCUCGCAACAAAACAUCUGAAAAGAGGGCUGUGCUGUUGAGCACCUUGACGCAUGGGAGGGACGCUGAUGCCUGCAACAGUGACCGUGUCCCCGCGGUCCCUGAGCUGGGUGGUGUCGGCCAGCCUGGCCUGGGCGCCUCACUCACCACCCGGCUGCAGGCCCACCUUGCCUGACCCAUCCCCAUAAAGGCAUCCUUGUCCCUUGCUGGGUCCUGCCAAUGAAGCUGAUGGUCGGAGCUCACUGGCUG
rnacentral:lncRNA from 1 species